AGAAUGAAAAUUAUAAAAUAAAAUCCUAAUUCUAAUAAAAUACUAAUAAUGUUAAACAAGCUUUAACUAAAUUCAGAAAAACCUCAAACAAAGUCCAGAGAAACAAUAAGAAAUCUUAAAAAAAUAUUAGAAUGAUUACAAACAUAUCUCAAAUACAUCUCAAUUUAAUCUUACUUUAAUUCUAAUUGAAAUCUUAUUGGACUUCAUUCAAAAUUUAGGCCAAAAACUAACUAAAUCUUAAAUCCUAAACAAACUCAAAUAAAAUCCUAAAUCCUAAAUUAAAUCCUAAUCAAAUCCUAACCAAACCUUAAAUCCUAAAUCAAAUCCUAAAUCCUAAAUCAAAUCCUAAUCAAAUCCUAACCAAAUCUUAAAUCCUAAACCAAAUCCUAAAUCCUAAAUCCUAAAUCAAAUCCUAAUCAAAUCCUAACCAAAUCUUAAAUCCUAAACCAAAUCCUAAAUCCUAAAUACUAAAUCAAAUCCUAACCAAACCUUAAAUCCUAAACCAAAUCAUAAUCCUAAAUCAAAUCCUAACCAAAUUCUAAACCCUAAACCAAACCAUAAUCCUAAAUCAAAUCUUAAUCAAAUCUUAAUCAAAUUCUAACCAAAUUCUAACCCUAAAUCAAACCCUAAUCAAAUUCUAAAUCUUAAAUCAAAUCCUAAUCCUAAAUUAAAUCCUAAGCAAAUCCUAAUCAAACUCUAACUAAAUCCUAAUCAAAUCCUAAUCAAAUCUUACUUCUAAAUCAAAUCCUAACCAACCUUAAACCAAACCCUA
rnacentral:lncRNA from 1 species